UGUGGGACAUGAUUAGUUGGCAUGAGCAGCUGCAUGUGGGAUGCCGUUAUUGUAAUCAAAUGUUCCUCAUUCUACUGUCCUCCAACACCUUCGUCCUCCAUUGAAGCUGUCAACCACAUCUCCUUCGUGUCCUUCAGCUCGCACCUCCACCAUCUUCUUUGUGCUCCUCCGUCUUUAUUGUCCUCCUUUGUCUUUCAGUCGGCUUUGCCGCCGUAUUCACGAAAACCCUAACAAAAAUGGGGAAAGAAGGGCAUGGUUAACCCCAAAUGGUGAGGAAAGGGAAGAAGAAGAGCAACUGGUGGAAGAGAUGGAUGCCAAAAGAAGACCAAUUUACAAAUAUAUCAAAAUUUCGUCAUGAAUCCAGAUUUAAUUUCAAAAUUAAGGGAAAUAGACUUGAAUCCCUCGAUCUUCACUUUGGGUACACUUGAAUUUGCGAACAAGAUGCAGAUCUUCACUUGUAAGUUAACGGUGAAAUUUAACACCGUCAUCUUUUCUUUUGCACUCCUUGUACAGCUGGACAUAGUCAGAAACACCUCACAAUAUGUAAAACCACUCAUACCCCUGGAAAUUACUGUAUUACCCCCAUGAGAAACGAAUGUUGUUAAUCAAUAGGAGAAACAGGGAAUUACUCUUGCCAUUAGUGAUUGUCUCCAUCUGUGAGACUUUUCUGUACUCACUCAUUAUGAAAGUUGUUACACGAGGCAAGUUCUCUUUGCUACUUUAUUGUAUUUGGUAAGUGUUUGAUUUCCAUUUGAUUAAUCUAAUUGUAGUUCUAACCCUUUUUUUGAUCCCCCAUUAA